GGGGAGUAACUUUAGUAACAUGCAUAUGUUACUAGUCUAUGUUACUACCUGCAUAACGAGGAGUAACAUAUGUAUGGUGUCAUGCAAUACUCCAUUUAUUAGGUUAUAGACUCAUCUUGUUUUGGUAUGUGUGAUGUUACUCAUAGUAUGAAUAACAUACAAUGUUACCAUAUGCCUCUUUUUCCUUAUUAAUUUCUUGCCACAUCAUCUAUCAUCUAUUUUACCUAGUUAUGUGUGAUGUUAUCAUCUACUUUACUCUCACUAUGGAGUACGGAGAGAGUGGCAUGAUUCUGCCGUGAGAAGUGAGUGCUUGGCAAGCCGCGACAAAAAUACCCUGAUCUUUACCGGCACUUGGACUCUUCAAAGAGAUGCCCAGUUCUUCUCCAACUGUCUUGUUGGAGUUCGACGCUCUACCUUCCAGCCACGCCUCCCAUCUUCCCUUGGUGCAAGCGAGCAUGAUGAGAACACUUGUUUGCAAAUAGUUUUACUUGUUUUAAGUACCACUUUAUGUAUUACCUUUAACAAAUUUUCCACGGCAAUGCGCAGGGAUCAUCUAAUAGUAUACAAAUAGGUACCCCGAUAGAAAAAAGAUACGUGGGCUCAAUCAGUAGCGGAGAGCGGCAUGGAAGUAAGAUGGGGCCAAUUGAUAAGCCAAAUUAAUAGCACUGGCAAAAUAAUAAAAAUUGUCUCACAUGGGCCAACAAUUACAGAUUUAUUAGGCCUCGUAAGCGGGUUGC
rnacentral:lncRNA from 1 species